UACGUAAUCACAAGGUAGCCUGUACCACACCUCGUGCAGUUUCCGCUCGCGUGCGGAAAAUAUAGCGGCGCGUGACAAACGCACAUGGUCGUUUGGCGUGGUGAUGCGAGUUUGGAGAGUCGGUGCAAACUGAAUUGUACGCCGUGUUGCUCGCCUUGGAUUCCAGUGCCGAAGGACUUCCCACCCUCCAAUACAGCUUUUCCCGCAUUGCUAUGAGCUCACCAUGUGACCACAUUGUUGCAGUAGCGUACCACACGGCACCCUAUGGACUGCUGGGCGUCAACACAGUUCCUCCUCUUCUGUACUGAAAGGGAUGAGACUUGUCACUGACUCAUAACAAUGAUGGAAGACCUCGGGACUGAAUUCAGGGGGUGAUAUCUUGAAAAUGGGAGCGCUCCGGUUCAGAACUAAUGAGGCUGCAUGCGGGGUUUGUUUGGACUGGAAAGGGAACACUUUAAAGCAGUUGCAGUCACUGCUUUUUAGGGUUGUGGCCAAGCUGGUUAAAAUGUCUGUGGUAAAAGUAAGUAUAACAUGUAGAAAAAAAAUGUAGUGUGCUUAAAAAAAAAAAAAGGGGGAAAGAAAAAAACAGCUGCCAUUUUGAA